GACAGAGGUCUCGAGCGUUAGGCGGAAUCACUGGGCUUAAAGCGUGUGUAGGCGGAGUUCUAAGUACCUUGUGAAAUCCCCGGGCUUAACCUGGGAACUACAUUUGUGACUGCAUCGCUGGAGUGCGGCAGAGGGGGAUGGAAUUCCGCGUGUAGCAGUGAAAUGCGUAGAUAUGCGGAGGAACACCGAUGGCGAAGGCAAUCCCCUGGGCCUGCACUGACGCUCAUGCACGAAAGCGUGGGGAGCAAACAGG
rnacentral:rRNA from 1 species